rnacentral:rRNA from 1 species
AUUGAACGCUGGCGGCAUGCCUUACACAUGCAAGUCGAACGGUAACGCGGGGCAACCUGGCGACGAGUGACGAACGGGUGAGUAAUGCAUCGGAACGUGCCCAGUAGUGGGGGAUAGCUCGGCGAAAGCCGGAUUAAUACCGCAUACGACCUAUGGGUGAAAGCGGGGGACCGCAAGGCCUCGCGCUAUCGGAGCGGCCGAUGUCAGAUUAGGUUGUUGGUGAGGUAAAGGCUCACCAAGCCGACGAUCUGUAGCUGGUCUGAGAGGACGACCAGCCACACUGGGACUGAGACACGGCCCAGACUCCUACGGGAGGCAGCAGUGGGGAAUUUUGGACAAUGGGGGCAACCCUGAUCCAGCCAUGCCGCGUGCGGGAAGAAAGCCUUCGGGUUGUAAACCGCUUUUGUCGGGGAAGAAACGCUCUGGGCUAAUACCCUGGGGUAAUGACGGUACCCGAAGAAUAAGCACCGGCUAACUACGUGCCAGCCGCCGCAGUAAUAC